CGGUACACUCUUCAAGGUGCUGCAUGGUUGUCGUCAGCUCGUGCCGUGAGGUGUCGGGUUAAGUCCCAUAACGAGCGCAACCCUUACCGUUAGUUACCAUCAGGUUAAGCUGGGGACUCUAGCGGGACUGCCACCGUAAGGUGAGAGGAAAGUGGGGAUGACGUCAAAUCAGCACGGCCCUUAUGUCCAGGGCUACACACGUGUUACAAUGGCCAGUACAAAGGGCAGCUACCGGGUGACCGGAUGCUAAUCUCUAAAGCUGGUCUCAGUUCGGAUCGAAGUCUGCAACCCGACUUCGUGAAGCUGGAUUCGCUAGUAAUCGCGCAUCAGCCAUGGCGCGGUGAAUACGUUCCCGGGCCUU
rnacentral:rRNA from 1 species